rnacentral:rRNA from 1 species
GACGAACGCUGGCGGCGUGCUUAACACAUGCAAGUCGAACGGAGAGGCCCUGCUUUUGUGGGGUGCUCGAGUGGCGAACGGGUGAGUAACACGUGAGUAACCUGCCCUUGACUUUGGGAUAACUUCAGGAAACUGGGGCUAAUACCGGAUAGGAGCUCCUGCUGCAUGGUGGGGGUUGGAAAGUUUCGGCGGUUGGGGAUGGACUCGCGGCUUAUCAGCUUGUUGGUGGGGUAGUGGCUUACCAAGGCUUUGGCGGGUAGCCGGCCUGAGAGAGUGACCGGCCACAUUGGGACUGAGAUACGGCCCAGACUCCUACGGGAGGCAGCAGUGGGGAAUAUUGCACAAUGGGCGGAAGCCUGAUGCAGCAACGCCGCGUGCGGGAUGACGGCCUUCGGGUUGUAAACCGCUUUCGCCUGUGACGAAGCGUGAGUGACGGUAAUGGGUAAAGAAGCACCGGCUAACUACGUGCCAGCAGCCGCGGUGAUACGUAGGGUGCGAGCGUUGUCCGGAUUUAUUGGGCGUAAAGGGCUCGUAGGUGGUUGAUCGCGUCGGAAGUGUAAUCUUGGGGCUUAACCCUGAGCGUGCUUUCGAUACGGGUUGACUUGAGGAAGGUAGGGGAGAAUGGAAUUCCUGGUGGAGCGGUGGAAUGCGCAGAUAUCAGGAGGAACACCAGUGGCGAAGGCGGUUCUCUGGGCCUUUCCUGACGCUGAGGAGCGAAAGCGUGGGGAGCGAACAGGCUUAGAUACCCUGGUAGUCCACGCUGUAAACGGUGGGUACUAGGUGUGGGGUCCAUUCCACGGGUUCCGUGCCGUAGCUAACGCUUUAAGUACCCCGCCUGGGGAGUACGGCCGCAAGGCUAAAACUCAAAGGAAUUGACGGGGCCCCGCACAAGCGGCGGAGCAUGCGGAUUAAUUCGAUGCAACGCGUAGAACCUUACCUGGGUUUGACAUGGAUCGGGAGUGCUCAGAGAUGGGUGUGCCUCUUUUGGGGUCGGUUCACAGGUGGUGCAUGGCUGUCGUCAGCUCGUGUCGUGAGAUGUUGGGUUAAGUCCCGCAACGAGCGCAACCCUUGUUCACUGUUGCCAGCACGUUAUGGUGGGGACUCAGUGGAGACCGCCGGGGUCAACUCGGAGGAAGGUGGGGAUGACGUCAAGUCAUCAUGCCCCUUAUGUCCAGGGCUUCACGCAUGCUACAAUGGCUGGUACAGAGAGUGGCGAGCCUGUGAGGGUGAGCGAAUCUCGGAAAGCCGGUCUCAGUUCGGAUUGGGGUCUGCAACUCGACCUCAUGAAGUCGGAGUCGCUAGUAAUCGCAGAUCAGCAACGCUGCGGUGAAUACGUUCCCGGG